rfam:Anas platyrhynchos breed Pekin duck contig6480, whole genome shotgun sequence.
GUGCAGAUGAUGUUAACAUGUUUUAUCCCUGAGCAAAAUGAUGUUUCCAAAGGAACCACUGAUGCAC